GAUGAACGCUAGCGGCAGGCUUAAUACAUGCAAGUCGAGGGGCAGCGCAGUGUAGCAAUACAUGGGCGGCGACCGGCAAACGGGUGCGGAACACGUACGCAACCUUCCUUUAAGUGGGGGAUAGCCCAGGGAAACUUGGAUUAAUACCCCGUAAUAUUAUGAAGUGGCAUCACUUUAUACUUAUAGCUCCGGCGCUUAAAGAUGGGCGUGCGACUGAUUAGGUAGUUGGCGGGGUAACGGCCCACCAAGCCUGCGAUCAGUAACUGGUGUGAGAGCACGACCAGCCACACGGGCACUGAGACACGGGCCCGACUCCUACGGGAGGCAGCAGUAAGGAAUAUUGGUCAAUGGACGCAAGUCUGAACCAGCCAUGCCGCGUGGAGGAUGAAGGUCCUCUGGAUUGUAAACUUCUUUUAUUUGGGAAGAAACCCACUGUUUCUACGGUGGUUGACGGUACCAGAUGAAUAAGCACCGGCUAACUCCGUGCCAGCAGCCGCAGUAACAC
rnacentral:rRNA from 1 species